rnacentral:misc_RNA from 1 species
AAAGUCGUAACAAGGUUUCCGUAGGUGAACCUGCGGAAGGAUCAUUACAAAUCGUGCCUUUAACCCUGUGGGAAUGUCGCGGCGUCCGGUGACGCGAGUCACCGGGCGUUGCACCACGUCAAACGAUGUCGAUUGUCAGAGGUACGUGUCGCGUAACAGCAAACAACUUUUAACAAUGGAUCUCUUGGCUCUU